rfam:Cupriavidus metallidurans CH34, complete genome.
CCUGCUAUGCGACUAGCAGUAGCCUAGGGAGACAUGCGUCACGGGUAACUGUGGGGUGUGAAGCUCUCCUGACAACGAAGCCCCCGCAAGGGUGCGUAACUGCCGAGAGGUAGAGACGCAGAGACUCCUAGCAGCAAUGGGGUCGAGGAG